rnacentral:rRNA from 1 species
UACGUAGGGCGCAAGCGUUGUCCGGAUUCACUGGGUGUAAAGGGCGCGUAGGCGGUCAGCACAAGUCAGUUGUGAAAUCUCCGGGCUUAACUCGGAAAGGUCAACUGAUACUGUGCGACUAGAGUGCAGAAGGGGCAACUGGAAUUCUCGGUGUAGCGGUGAAAUGCGUAGAUAUCGAGAGGAACACCUGCGGCGAAGGCGGGUUGCUGGGCUGACACUGACGCUGAUGCGCGAAAGCCAGGGGAGCGAACGGG